UCCGGUUGAUCCCGCCGGACCCCACUGCUAUCGGGGUGAGACUAAGCCAUGCGAGUCGAGUGCUUCUAGGCUAUGGUGGAAGCACGGCGUACGGCUCAGUAACACGUGAUUAACCUACCCUUAGGACGGGGACAACCCCGGGAAACUGGGGCUAAUCUCCGAUAGGUGGAAGCGCCUGGAAUGGUCUUCCGCCCAAAGGGCUUCGGAGCCAUGCUUUCCGACGCUGCCUAAGGAUGGGGUCGCGUCCGAUCAGGUUGUUGGUGGGGUAAUGGCCCACCAAGCCUAUAACCGGUACGGGCCCUGAGAGGGGGUGCCCGGAGAUGGGAACUGAGACAAGGUCCCAGGUCCUACGGGGCGCAGCAGGCGCGAAAACUCCGCAAUAUGCGAAAGCGUGACGGGGUUACCCCGAGUGCCGCCCGCUGAGGGUGGCUUUUUCUCAGUGUAAAGAGCUGGGAGAAUAAGAGGAGGGCAAGACUGGUGUCAGCCGCCGCGGUAAUACCAGCUCCUCAAGUGGUGGGGACGAUUAUUUGGCCUAAAGCGUCCGUAGCCUGCCAAGCAAGUCUUUCGUUAAAUCCGGCGAUUUAAUCGCCGGACUGCGAGAGAUACUGCUAGGCUAGGAGGCGGGAGAGGUCGACGGUAGUCCAGGGGUAGGGGUGAAAUCCUAUAAUCCCUGGAGGACCACCAGUGGCGAAAGCGGUCGACUAGAACGCGCUCGACGGUGAUGGACGAAAGCUGGGGGAGCGAACCGGAUUAGAUACCCGGGUAGUCCCAGCUGUAAACGAUGCAGGCUAGGUGUUGGGGUGGCUACGAGCCACUCCAGUGCCGC
rnacentral:rRNA from 1 species